rnacentral:rRNA from 1 species
GACGAACGCUGGCGGCGUGUUUAACACAUGCAAGUCGAACGGUAAGGCCCUUCGGGGUACACGAGUGGCGAACGGGUGAGUAACACGUGGGUGAUCUGCCCUGCACUUCGGGGUAAGCCUGGGAAACUGGGUCUAAUACCGGAUAGGACCACUGCCUGCAUGGGGGGUGGUGGAAAGCUUUUGCGGUGUGGGAUGGGCCCGCGGCCUAUCAGCUUGGUGGUGGGGUGGUGGCUUACCAAGUCGGCGACGGGUAGCCGGCCUGGGAGGGUGACGGGCCACACUGGGACUGAGAUACGGCCCAGACUCGUACGGGAGGCAGCAGUGGGGAAUAUUGCACAAUGGGCGCAAGCCUGAUGCAGCGACGCCGCGUGAGGGAUGACGGCCUUCGGGUUGUAAACCUCUUUCAGCAUCGACGAAGCGAAAGUGACGGUAGGUGCAGAAGAAGGACCGGCCAACUACGUGCCAGCCGCCGCAGUAA